rnacentral:rRNA from 1 species
UAGGGAAUCUUCGGCAAUGGGGGCAACCCUGACCGAGCAACGCCGCGUGAGUGAAGAAGGUUUUCGGAUCGUAAAGCUCUGUUGUAAGAGAAGAACGUGUGUGAGAGUGGAAAGUUCACACAGUGACGGUAACUUACCAGAAAGGGACGGCUAACUACGUGCCAGCAGCCGCGGUAAUACAUAGGUCCCGAGCGUUGUCCGGAUUUAUUGGGCGUAAAGCGAGCGCAGGCGGUUUAAUAAGUCUGAAGUUAAAGGCAGUGGCUUAACCAUUGUUCGCUUUGGAAACUGUUAAACUUGAGUGCAGAAGGGGAGAGUGGAAUUCCAUGUGUAGCGGUGAAAUGCGUAGAUAUAUGGAGGAACACCGGUGGCGAAAGCGGCUCUCUGGUCUGUAACUGACGCUGAGGCUCGAAAGCGUGGGGAGCAAACAGG